UUUUGUGUAUGUAUGAUUUAUAUAGGGCUCAGGGUAUGCAAGGAUGAUUUCAUGAAACAGUCCCAGUACAUAUCUUUGGCUCACGUAAGCGGGUUUUUGCAAGGUAGACAAUAGUCCUAAGAGCAAUUGAUUGUGUGCAGGCCCGGGGGGAGUCAAGCUUCUGUAAUUCUGUACUUCAAGGAGGCUACCCCCAGUGGCCUCCUGACUCAAUGGGCCGCGGCAACCACCGUCCUCCCAGAGAGAUCUGUGGGGGCCACAGAUUUCUUUGUUCCCUCUCCACUCCCAUCGCUUCACCUGACCAAAGGACGGGUCAGAAUGUUCUUUCCCUAGUAGAUGUUUUUCCCCAGAACUUUCCCUAGAAUAUUGUAUUGUAUCAUUCUCAUUCCCAGGGCCGGGCUGAAUUCCCCUGAAAUAAUGCCAGGUGUAGAACAGAGUAAGCAGAAGCAGGAAAGUCAAAAGUACUAGGGAGACUUGUUGCAGGGGCAGCCUGGUAGAUUCCCUUGAGGGUCGCCGUGCAUCCCCUCAUCUCUCUCCUGGCCCGUGUCACAAGGCAGAGGCUUAACUUUUAGGCUGAUGGCUCCCGGCAGUGAACCACCUGCCUGACACGCUAGAACCAAAUGCCAGACAUGUCGGAACCACCACCCAGACACUCUGGAACCAGACAUUGGAGACUCCAGAAUCAGGUCUCGGACAGGCUGGAAGCACCUUCUGGACACGCUGGAAUCACAUACAGGAAGUGGAAAAUCACCCACCGGACACAACGGAACCAUCUUCUGGACACACUGGAACCAACUGACUGACAGGCCGGAACAACCCCCAGAUAUGCAGAAACCAACCGCCAGACACGACUGAUCCACCUGCUGGAUAGCACUGAUCCACCCACCAAACACGGCUGAACCAGUGGCCGGACAUGCCGGAACCACCUACCUGACACCCUGGAUCCACCUGCCGGAAUCUCUGGAACCACCUGUUGGAUAUGCCAGAACCAGGUGCCGGACACAGUAGAUCCACCUGCCAGAAAAAAGCGAGAACCACCUGCCAGACAUGCCACAGCAGCCUGCUGGACACACUGAAAUCACCGGCCAGAUGUGCCAGGACCAGGUCCCAGAUAUGCCAUAACCAAAUUCCGGACAGACUGGAAAUACCUGCCAGAAAUGCUGGAACCACCACCUGGACAUGCCGAAACCACCAACCCGUCCCGAUGCAAUCAGGUCUCGGACACGCUGUAGCCACUUGCCGGACAUGCCGGAAUCACCCACCGGAAAUGUAGGAAUCCACUGCCAGACACCCCAGAAGCAAACACCGGACACGUUGGAACCACACGUUGGAUAUGCCGGGCCCAGGUGCUGGAAACACCAGAACCACCUGCUGGACAAGCCUGAACAACCUGCCAGACUUGUGUGAAUCACCUGCUGGUCAUGCUGGUAUCAAGUCUAGAAUGCGCCAGAAUCAUCUUCCAGACAGGCCAGAAAAACCUGCCAGACAUGCCGGAACCACCACCCGGAAACAUUGAUACCACCAACCAGACAUGACAGAAUCAGCUCCUGGACACGCCAAAUCACCCACCAGACAUGCGGGAACUAACUGCCAGACACCCCGGAAGCACCCACCGGACACGUCAGAACCACCUUACAGACAUACCGGCAACUCAUGCCAGACACACAGGAACCCCCUGCUGGACACACUGGAACCACAUGAAUGACAUGUCAGUACUAUUGGCCAGACAUGCCAGAGCCACCUGCCAGACAAAACUGAACCACCUGCCAGACAAGACAGAACCACCUGCCGGAUACGCCUGAAACAUUUGACAGACACUCUGGAACUACAUGCUGGGCACGCCAGAACCACCAGUCAGAUAUGCCAGAACUGGGUGCUGGACAUGCCGGAACCACCUUCUGGACAGGCCUGAACCACCUGUCA
ensembl:lncRNA